CUUUAAUGCCCCAUGCACACUAUACUAUGCCUAAAGCAGAUGCUAACACUGGAGCUCUUAGAGUUCUCCUUGGUCAAACUUGGUACGUCUGAAAUGGAAUUCCUGAGUCUUCCCACUCCACAAUAACUUCCUCAACUUUCCCCAUUUAUUUUUUUUAAUCAUUAUUUUUAUUUUUUCAUUACUCAGAUGAAUUUAUCACAUCUGUAGUUGUAUAAUGAUCAUAACAAUCCAGUUUCACAGGAUUUCCAUCCCACAGCCCAAACACAUCCCCCCACCCCCCCUUCCCUAUUUCUUUAAAUGGUGCUUGUGUCUACAUAGCUGCUCCAGCCAGAUUCCUGGUAGUCGUCCUGAUUCUUCCCUUAUUUAUUAUUUUCCCUUUUCUGUUCUUUAGCACAUUUUUUAUCAAAUGUUGCCACUUAAGUCCACGUCUGCCACAAGCAUAGUCAAACCAUAGUCAUGUCCCACCAGGACUACUGCAGUGGCAUUCUGGCUUCUCAUCUUCCUUUUUUUUUCUUUGUUUUCCUUCAAUUUAAUUUACAUUCAGUAAGCUGAGAUGAUAUUGUUAAUCAUAUAGGUUGUCACUCCGUAACUUAGAACCUAUUGGCAACUUCCCAGGAUCAGAUCUAAGCUGCAGCUGUAGCAAUACUGGAUCCUUAACCCACUGUGCUGGGCCGGGGAUCAAACCUGUGUCCCAGUGGUCCCAAGAUGCUGCUAAUCCUGUUGCGCCAUAGCGGGAACUCCAGGGCUGAUUUACUCUUCAGGUCCUCGCUUCAGGAUCAAGCUUCAGAGGAAGGUCCCUGACAACCUCUAAGAGAUGCUUCCCCACCCCCACCCCCAUUCUUCCCUACCAUUGUGCCCAGUUUGUGUAUUUUGUGGUACUUAGUUUCUUUGCUUACUCAUGCGUUGAAUAUUUUCCUCAUAAAUUGUAAGUAAGGGGGCUGCCCCAGUGCCUGGCAACAGUGUCUGACUUGUAAUGGGCAUUUAAUAAUGUGUAUUUAUAUAUAAGCUAUUUGAAUGUUGUGCUUCUCUUAGGAACAUACUAUCCUCUACCCUUGUCCCCAUCAUUCACUGCCUUAGCACUUAUCAGUUGCUCAAGAAACUGAGUGCCAGCACAGGACCAGGCCCUGGGUAGGACCAGAGGAUUCCCAGAUGGCCCAUUAGGGUUAGAGUUGUGCUCUACUCUAUAUGUCAGCCGUCAAGAAAGGCAGACGUUUAAAAAAAAAGGAGUUCCCAUUGUGGCUUAGUGGUAAUGAACCCGACUAGUAUCCAUGAGGAUGCGGGUUUGAGUCCUGGCUUCACUCUGGGUUAAGGAUCCAGCGUUCCUAUGAGCUUGUGGUGUAGGUCACAGAUGCAGCUCAGAUCCCAAGUUGCUAUGGCUGUGGCCAUGGCUUUUUUGCCCCCUAGCCUGCGAACUUCCAUGUGCCAUAGCUGUGGCCCUAAAAAGCCAAAAAAAAAGGCAGAGGUGGUGGAAAUGAUAACCUAGGAAGGCCCUUUAGCUUGGAGAUUGGUGAUCCCUUAAGGCGAAGCUUGAGUGGGUAUGUCUAGGUUCCACAGUGGGCAAGAACCGGGGCGGCGGGGGCUGGGUUCCUUGAAGACCGAAGGAGGAGUGAUGACAGCUCCCUCCCUGUAACUCCCUUCAAGAAUAGAGUGGAAGCUUCUCUUUUGCUUGCACACAUCAGUUUGUGGUAGUAAUAGCGAACUGAGUGCUUUACAUUUACUUCACACAAUAAAAUUCCCAUUUUAUGAUGAAACAGGCUCAGAGAAAUUAAGUAGCAUGUCUAAGGCCACAGAAAGAGCUUGUAUCUAAGUUCUGGCCCUCGAGCUCCAGAGCCUAAAUUUCAGCCAUUAGUCUAGUGAGUGUCCUGAGGCCUGUUACAGUGUGGUCCAGUCCCAGUUCUGACUUCCCUGCAGGGUCCAAAUCUCUGAGCCUCCUCCUCUGCUCAUCUUGAUCGUGAAUCACCUUGUUCUGUUCCAGGUAGGGGUGGGGAAGGUGGCAACAGCGUUGUGGUCCCUGGGGUGUUGGCCACGUGCCCAGCUUAGAUGGUCUUCGCCCAGGUUCCUCAAACUCUCGUCCUAUGGAGAGGCUUGGUGUGAUUCACCAACAUAGCCCUGAAACCACUGGCCAUGCCGCAGUGUAGAAGGAGGAUAGUGGUGCUUAGGGUGGGGAGGGCCUUUCCCUAACCACUCAUUUUCCUAAUUCUCAUAGCCAUUGUCCUGCCUCUCAGGUCAGAGCCAAGGGUGGGCCAGGACCACUGUUGCUGGAAAUGUAGUUCACCUUGCCAAAUGCAGAGGCUAACCCCGUCACCACCCCCUCCUUAUAGACUCAAUAGGGUCUAGCCUUAGGACUACUGGGUGCCUCUGCCAGCUGCUCUUCUCCAUUUCAGUAGCUUCUUUCUUCAUCUCUCUGCUGUGGUGAGCACACAGUAGGAAUCACCUACUGUGUAUGUACAUUGGGGGCAGGGGCAAGUCAUUUAACUGCCCUGGCUUUACCAGGGGAGCCAAAGGAUGCUACCUCAUUGGUUCUUGUGGAUUAGUAGAGAGAAUGAUCGGAGUGAGUCCUUCAACCUGUAGCGCCAUAAUUGUGCGAUUUAAAUUUUGCCUGGAUCCUCAGAAGGCCUGCAAACCUAAGGCACUACUGAUUGAGAUCAUUUUGCCAACCUUUCCAUGUGUGGGUUCCUGUGGCUGAUCUCUCAUUUCUUGCACUUCUCGGCUAUAGAGCCUUGAUCUUAAAGCCUUGAGAUGGAUUUUUCUGACAGAGCUGACAACUCUUCCUAGGAAUGUAUUUUUAUUUCUUCCUUCCUCCUCCUAAAUAUCUCAGAGAACCAGAUUUGUGAGCCAAAUUCUAACAAGCCAUGAGAGCAGUCUUAGGCAAGUUGUUUCCCUUUUCAGGGCUAUCUUGCAGCCAACUAACCCUCCUUUCCUGCCUUGUGGACAGGCUCUAUGCAGUGUAUUGAGUGCCCUUUCUAUGCCACACUGACUUCACUGUGUGGCUGGCAGUUAGAGGAAAGUAUAGAUUUGGGGCUGUCUCAGGCCUAAAAAGAGCAGGACUUGGACUGCAGUAGUCUAAGCUAUUGCCAAGUUGGAGCUGUGGCUCAAUGGGUCUUUGUCUCUGCAGGGAAGGUGUUGCAGUAGAAGUCAGGGAGUUCUGAGACACCACCUAGGGGGACCUGGAUGCUUUUCUCCUGGCAACAACAUUUAAAUCAGGCUGGGGUUUAUUUUGCCUUGUACUUAAAGUGUGUCAGAAUGCUGCUGCUGUGGCUGGUCCUUGCUUGCAUGGUGCCCAGAAUUUCAUCCUAAAUAGCUGACUGUCCAGGAAGAAAUCCAUGGAGAUGGAAGGCCUUGGGUAUUUUGGGUAUUAAUUCAUUUUUUUCUCCAAAAUGGGACAGGGACAUGUUGGCCAUCAUCUCUCACAAAUAUUUCAUUCUCUUUGUGGACUGGUGUGUGUGUGUGUGUGUGUAUUAUUAUUUUUUUUAUGGCCAUGGCUUAUGGAAGUUCCCAGGCUAGGGGUCGAAUAGGAGCUGCAGCUAAGGCCUGUACCACAGUCACAGCAACACCGGAUCUGAGCCAUAUCUGCCACCUACACCACCGCUUGUGGCAAUGCUAGAUCCUUAACCCACUGAGUGAGGCCAGAGAUCAAACCCCCAUCCUCAUGGAGACUGUUGGUUCUUAACCCACUGAACCACAGUGGGGACUCCCUGAUAAGUAUAUUUUUAUUUCAAAGGAAAGAAAUACGAAAAGAGAGUUUUAAUCUUAAGGCAUAAAGAAUAAGCUUUAAGAAAAAAGUUAACUCUCUUGGAGUUCUCUUACAGUACAGUGGGUUAAGGAUCCAGUGUUGUUGCUGCAGAGGCUUGGGUCACUCUUGCGGGAUGGGUUUGAUCCCUGGUCCAGGAACAUCCAUGCUGUGGGUGUGGGUCCCUCCCCCCCAAAAAAGCUUUGGAGUUUAAUUAUAUAAUUGUCCUCUGAACUCUCAUAGUGCUUUUACAUUUCUUAUAGUAAUUACUGUUUUGUUCAUAUUUUCCCCUCUCAAGAUUUCUGAGGCCUAUCUCAUCUCCCUGACCCCUUAGCACUCAGUGGUGCCUGGUGUAAAGCCAUUAGGCAGAGCCUGGCUCACAGGUGCUCAGCAAUGUUAGGGUGGGAGAGGCACAACCGAUCCUCUGGAAAGCUUUAGUCAGUCAACCUCAGGGAUUUAAAUAACUCCUGCCCCCUUGAAUCACAUAUACUUAUGCAUGGUUCUUUUCCUAUCUUUAAGGCAGUAUUCCUUUAAAACAAAACAUCAGCUUCAUGAUUAGGGGAUUGGCCUGUUACAUCUCAGGCAAAUCUCAUAUCUAUAGUGCUAGUCACUUUUUUAAAAAAAACUUUUCAAAAAAUAGGUAUUUUUUUUCUUUUUGGCUGUGCUUGUGGCAUGCAUAAGUUCCCAGGCCAGGGGAUCAAACCUGCACAAUAGCAGAGACCCAAGCUGCUGCAGUAUUGCGCUAAAGGGGAACUCCUCAAAAAUAAUUUAGAAAAAUUGAAUGAUACUGGAGUCCCUGCUGGCACAACAGGAUUGAUGGGGGUCUCUGCAGCACCAGGGCACAGGUUUGAUCUCUGGCCUGGCACAGUGGGUUAAAGGAUCUGGCAUUGCUGCAGUUGCAGAUCUGAUCCUUGGCCUAGGAACUCUGUAUGCCACUGGGUGGCUAAAAAUGGGAAAAAAAUUUUUUUUUCACAAUUUCAUAUAAUCUUAUAGUAAUCCUUUUUUCCUCCCCUCCGGUAUUGUUCCUCUCCUGUCCCUCUCUCCCCUGGUAGCCACUAGCUGGUUCUUUGUGAGUCUGCUUUGUUUCAUUCACUGGUUUGGUGGUGGUGGUUUUUGUUUUUUAAGAUUCCUUAUAAAAGUGGUAUCAGAAUGUUUGUCUUUCUCUGACUUAUUUAGCAGAAUGCCCUCCAGGUCCACCAUGUUGCUGUAAAUGGCAAAAUUUCGUUCUUUUUUAUGGCUUAUUUGUAUUCCAUUAUCUACCUUAUAGUAUAAAAUAUCACCUAUAUUACAUAUAUGGCACAUCUUUAUCCAUUCAUCUCUUAAUGUACACUUAAGUUGCUUCCAUACCUUAGCUAAAUAAUGCUGCUGUGAACACUGGGGUAUAAUGCUCUUCACUCUUGUUCCUGCCCAAUCACAAUGAUCUUUCAAGAAAAAUGAAUCUGAUCCUGUUACUCUCAAACUUAAAACCCUUUAGGAGUUCCCACUGUGGCACAGAGGGUUGAAGACCCAAUGUCUCUGCUGUGGCGCAGGUUUGAUCCCUGGCUUGGCACAGUGGGUUAAGGAUCUGGUGUGACUGUGUUGCAGCUGUGACUGACACUGGUUGCGGCUGGGGCUUGGAUCCAAUUCUUGGCCUGGGAACUUCCAUAUGCUGCUGUGCAGCCCAAAAAGAAAAACAAAACAAAACACAGCCCUUUAAUAGCUUCCAGUUAUUCUUAACGAUGAAAUCCCUUUAACAUAGCCAAGGCUCUCAUGAAUUGUGCUGAAACUUACUAACCUCUUCAGAUUUCUGCCGUACAGAUUUUCUCCUGCCAGAGUUCCCUUUCUGGUUCCUAAUGGGCACCACUCUCAUAUGCUCAACUUGGAAACAGCAACUGCCCCCCUCCACCCAUCCCCCAGAGUCAGUCACUAUAUGUUUUCAAAGCAUCCUGUACUUUGUAGUACAUAUCGCAGAUGUGAUCAAAGUUUGCUUCUCAAUGAGAAAUCAUACACAUUUCAUUCCUCACUCAAAUCCUGGCUCACUAGUAAUUCCAAUCAUUGAAUUCAGUUCUUAGUGUGAGAAGCCUCAUGGGACUCCAGGAUGGUCUAUAUUAGAAGAAAUGUGGGGAGGAAAAGGAAUUUUGUACUCACAACACUACAAUUUCUAAGCUGAGCUUUAGGAAUAAACAUUGUUUCUAUUCAACAGUCCUCUUAGAUUGGCUGAAAAUCAAUUCCUUUCCCAGUUACCUGUUUUAGGGAGAGGGAAAGGAUUUUCUAAGGGAAAAAUAUUUUACAUGAUUCUGCAAGGCUUUUAACUCCUCAUAAACUUAUUUUACCAUUUAAGUUGUGCUGUCCAAUAACAACCACUAGCCACAUGAGGCUAAUAAAAAUUUUGGUUUCUCAGUUUCACUAUCCAUCCACAUUUCAAGUAGUUUAAUAGCUACAUGUAGCUAGUGGCUACAAAUUAGGCGGCACAAAUAAAGAAAACCCCCAACAUGGCCAAAAGUUUUAUUGGACAAUUCUGAUGUAAAACUGUUUUGUGGACUUCCUGUCAUGGCUCAGUGGUUAACGAUUCUGACUAGGAACCAUGAGUUUGUGGAUUCGAUCCCUGGCCUCACUCAGUGGGUUAAGGAUCUGGCGUUGCCAUGAGCUGUGGUGUAGGUCGCAGAUGUGGCUUGGAAAACCUGCGUUGCUGUGGCUGUGGCCAGCCACUACAGCUCCGACUGGACCCCUAGCCUGGGAACCUUCAUGUGCCGCCAGUGGGGCCCUAGAAAAGAUAAAACAAACUUCUGUAGAAUCCAUUUUUUUUCUUGCUUGUCCUGCCAGUAAGAUGGAAAUCAAAAUAUGUAAAAUUGUUGUGUCAACUGGAGCAGAGGAGGCCCAGAGAUUUUGGUGAAGCUGAAAAAGCCUAUACAUAGGUAUUUUUUUGCUCUGCCUGGUGCCUUGCAGAUAAUCACAAGGAAAUGCCAGGAUCUUUGCCCUACUUUCUUUUUUUAAAAAGGGCACAACCCUGCUUCCUUGAGGACUGCUGGGGCCAACAUGGGCUUCGUUGUACAUCAUCACUAUUUGGAGUAUAUGGGGAGGCUAACCUCUCUCUGGAGGUGGUUGUAUCCUACCCCCCAAAAGCAGGGAAGAGUUUUGUUUCACCUCUUAUUUUAAGUACAAAAUAUCUGGGGAAAACACUGUAUAAUUGUUAGAUAAAACGUCACAGAGGGAGUUUGCAUUAUGGCUCAGCGGGUUACAAACCUGCCUAGUAUCCAUGAGGAUUUGGGUUCAAUCUCUGGCCUUGCUCAGUGGAUUAAGGAUCCAGCAUUGCUGUGGCUGUGGUGUAGGUGGGAAGCUGCAGCUCUGAUUCAACCCCUAGCCUGGGAACUUCCAUAUGCUGCAGGUUUGGCACUAAAAAGCAAAAAAAAAAAAAAAA
rnacentral:lncRNA from 1 species